UACGGAGGGUGCGAGCGUUAAUCGGAAUCACUGGGCGUAAAGGGCGCGUAGGCGGUUAGUUACGUCUGCCGUGAAAUCCCCGGGCUCAACCUGGGAAUGGCGGUGGAAACGGGCUGACUAGAGUAUGGGAGAGGGUGAUGGAAUUCCAGGUGUAGCGGUGAAAUGCGUAGAGAUCUGGAGGAACAUCAGUGGCGAAGGCGGUCACCUGGCCCAAUACUGACGCUGAGGCGCGAAAGCGUGGGGAGCAAACAGG
rnacentral:rRNA from 2 species